ensembl:lncRNA
GAAAAACCUGCCUCUGCAAGGGGAAUUCAGGAGAAAAAGAGGAGCUUAUGUUUUCUUGACAUUAAUGAGAAGAAGCUGGCUUUAACUGAAAGUAAUUGACAGCAUUAGGGUAAUGAUAGAGGGCCGGUCUUGUUGCCAGAAAGAUGGAUUAGAGCAAGAGACAUUUUUUGAGUCCAGAAUUAUUCCAGAGGCAAGGAAGUGCAUCUUCUUUAAAUCCAUAGGGAUAUAUAACGAAUCUCCUUAAAUUUUCGUAUUGCAGCACAAAAACUUUCAGUCUCCCAAACAGUGAAACCAUUUUUUCCCCACCAUGGAAGAAGACAGAUCAGGAUUAUACUGGUCCGUGGGCAGCUUGUCCACACUCUGCAGCUGAGCUCUUGCUACAGGUGAACGUAUGUAAGUGUUACCAUGACAUCGUAUGUCACUUGUGCCAGCUGGAACGUGCUCACUGUGAGAGAAGACUGUGCCCAUAGGGUGAGAGCUGACUGUGCAGAACUGCAGAAAGACAUUGCUUUGGUUAAGGGACAAUAAAUUAAGAAGAACAGAAACUUCAUUAAAAGUGAUGCAUGCUGGAAAUCGACAGUCCUGAUUUUGUGCAUGAAACUGGCACACUGAGCUGGCCAGUAGCACUCAGGAGUGGGGACGUGGGGUUACGCUGAAGGCUGGUGUGGACCCCUGGGAAGGACCUCUGGGAGAAGGUAAUGGAAGUAAAGUCUGUGGAGCCUCCUCCCUGCGUGGAAACACCUCUGGCUCGGAAAUCCCUGAGCUGCACAUUGGUGGAGGCUGGAGAAGUAUCAAGGAUAAGUAACUUAAAUGUCCCUCCAUUACUUUGGGUGUCCACUUCUGGCUGCUGUUGAAGGCAGGAUGCUAGCACAGCUGGACUCUCACCAAAGGCAUGGCUGCCUUUCUUACUUCUUUAUGCCUUCAAAAGAGUCUCAGUUUUGUACUGUUUACUGUCUGAGCCACCAAGAAAUACUUCUCACUUUGGACAGAGAGUGCAUAGGAAGCAGGAAAAAAAAAACAACCUCCAAAUGUAUUGGCUGAAUCCAAAACGUGGAAUGCAUUUUCUUUCUUUUUAAAGUAAAAGAGAAAAGUAGCACCAUGCUUGCUGCGCAGGUUAAUGCAUUCUUGGGUCUAGAUACAGGACCCUUAGUUAUUGGGAUAUUAUAUAACCUGGCCGUGAAAAAGAUUUAUUUUUAAUUAUUUUUUUUGAAUUGUCCCGCGUAAUGCUUGCUUUUGUAUUUUUCCCUCCUGUAAUUGCAGAGAGAUAUCCAUAUACAAACAUAUAUUCGAACAGCGACUUUGGAGGAAAAGAUAUUCUUAUUUUAAGAGAAAAUACCAUUCUGUAUCUCAGCAUCAAUAAAAGUAAAUGUUU